CAGUCGCCACGGGAAUACGGAGGGGGCUAGCGUUGUUCGGAAUUACUGGGCGUAAAGCGCACGUAGGCGGCUGUGUAAGUCAGAGGUGAAAGCCCGGGGCUCAACCCCGGAAUAGCCUUUGAGACUGCAUAGCUUGAACACGGGAGAGGUGAGUGGAAUUCCGAGUGUAGAGGUGAAAUUCGUAGAUAUUCGGAAGAACACCAGUGGCGAAGGCGGCUCACUGGACCGUUGUUGACGCUGAGGUGCGAAAGCGUGGGGAGCAAACAGGAUUAGAUACCCCCGUAGUCCCUGUCUCUUAUAA
rnacentral:rRNA from 1 species